rnacentral:tRNA from 1 species
AGAACAAUAGUUUAAACAGAACAUUUAUUUUGCAUAUAAAAGGUAUAAUAAAUAUUAUUUGUUUUA